CUGGACUUGAAGCAGGGGGCUGACUGCAAAUGUGACCUACAAAAAAGAGUCUGUGACCCCUAUGAAUAGAACCUAGAGUGAUGAACCCUAUACAUCAGGAGCCACAGGCUGGAGAUUUCCAGCUGUGGUCUGAAAGAGCAGAAGUAGGAGCUAUGCAGGAAUUACAGAUGGCAGUGUGCGCAGUUACCCAACAUGUAGUGUCUGUGUCCAGACCAGGAGGAGCUGUCCUGUCCCUCCUGCAUGCUACAAACAAGGAGUCAGUCCUGAACACCUGUGUAGUACACUGAUUCAUAUUAAGUACUGAAGAUUCUGAAUUAACCUGCGUUGCUAACUUCUCUGGGAUCACCGGCUUCUGUUGAGAGGACAAACAGAGAACACUACUCAUUU